GUGAUUCUACUAAGAUGAGAAGCAACAAGACAGCAGCUGAGACGGCAGCUGAGACAGCAGCAGCAGCUUCUCAGCAACUCAGCUGCCCAACCAUCUUUGGGAGGUUGCAGUGUGCAGGGGGUAGCGCCCUGGACCCUGGAGGCCUGGGUUUGAGUCCCAGCUUGCCCACUGGCCUGCUGUAGAACCUCAAGCAGACUCCUCUUGCGCAGUAUUCAGUUUCCCCACCAUCAGCUGGAACCAUCCUGGAAGUCAGAGUCUCACUCCGUCACCCAGGCUGGAGUGCAGUGUCGCAAUCACGGCUCCCAGGCUCAAGUAAUCCUCCCAUCUCAGCCUCCUGAGUAGCCGGGACCACAGGCUCAUGUCACCAUGCUGGGUUAGGUUUUUUAAUGUUUAAUUUUGUAGAGAUGGGGUCUCCCUGGGCUCAAGUGAUCCUCCUGCUUCAGCCUCCCAAAGUGCUGGGAUUAAGGCAUGAGCCACCACACCUGGUUCCCCCAAAUCUUGUCCCUUGUCUUUUCUCUGAGGUUCUGAGAGGGUAAGUAAAUAACACAGCCAAAUAAAUAACCAAAUAGCCAAAUAAAUAAGAACCGAGCCCUCUGUGACUCCAGAGUCUCUAUUUCAUAUUAAAAAUAAACAUGUAUAUUAAAAAAAUUCAUGUUAAGAAAAAUGGGUGACCACCUGGAGAAAAAAUGAAAUUGGAUAUAUAUCUCCCAGUGCAUCCAAGUAUCAAUGCAAAUGGACUGGAGAUUUCAAUUUGAAAAAUGAAUCUAUAAAAGUACUGGAAGAAACAGGCAAAUUCUUUCAUGACACUGGAGUGGAGACCGGGCUUGGUGGCUUCCUCCUGUGAUCCCAGCCCUUUGGGAGGCUGAGGCAGGAGGAUCGCUUGAGCCCAGGUGGUUGAGACCAGCCUGGGUACAUGCUGAAACCAACUGUCUCUACAAUAGCUGGGCAUGGAUGUGCCAGUUGAUACAAAAGUGCCCCAGUUGAUACAAUAAGUUGCAUACUCCACAUACUAUUCUGCAUCUUGCUUUUUCACUUGAAAAUACAUCUUGGAGAGCUUUCCAUGUCAAUAAGAGGAGAGCUUCCACUUUUUCAUCUGCAUAUUCUAAUGUUGUAGGGAUAAGCUACAGUUUAUUUAACUAGUCCCCUGUUCAUAGACAUUUGUGCUGGUUCUAGUUAUUUGCUCUUACAAACAAUGUAGCUGUGCUUAUAUUAUUUCUCAUAUGUGCGAGUUCACCAUUUAUUUAUUUUUAUUUUUUGAGACGAAGUCUUGCUCUGUCACCCAGGCUGGAGUGCAGUGAUGUGAUCUCUGCUCACUGCAACCUCUGCCUCCCGGGUUCAAACGAUUCUCCUGGCUCAGCCUCCCAAGUAGCUGGGAUUACAGGCACGCUCCACUGCGCCCAGCUAAUUUUUGUAUUUUUAGUAGAGACAGAGUUUCACCAUGUUGGCCAGGCUGGUCUUGAACUCCUGACCUCAGGUGAGCCUCCUACCUCGGCCUCCCAAAGUUCUGGGAUUACAGGCGUGAGCCACCGUGCCUAGCUCUAUUUAUUUAUUUUUGAUACAGGGUCUCACUCUGUCGCACAAGCUGGAGUGCAGUGGCACUAUCAUAGCUCACUGCAGCCUCAAACUCCUGGGCUCACGUGAUCCUCUCACCUCAGCCUCCCAAGCAGCUGAAACUACUGGGUGCAUGGCACCACGCUCAGCUAAUGUUUUUGAU